rnacentral:rRNA from 1 species
CCUACGGGAGGCAGCAGUAGGGAAUAUUGGGCAAUGGAGGCAACUCUGACCCAGCCAUGCCGCGUGCAGGAUGAAGGCGUUAUGCGUUGUAAACUGCUUUUAUAUAGGAAGAAAGAGUUCUUGCGAGAACAGUUGACGGUACUAUAUGAAUAAGCACCGGCUAACUCCGUGCCAGCAGCCGCGGUAAUACGGAGGGUGCAAGCGUUGUCCGGAUUUAUUGGGUUUAAAGGGUGCGUAGGCGGUUUAUUAAGUCAGUGGUGAAAGACGGUCGCUCAACGAUUGCAGUGCCAUUGAUACUGGUAGACUUGAGUGAGAUUGAGGUAGCUGGAAUGGAUAGUGUAGCGGUGAAAUGCAUAGAUAUUAUCCAGAACACCAAUUGCGUAGGCAAGUUACUAAGUCUCAACUGACGCUGAGGCACGAAAGUGUGGGUAUCAAACAGGAUUAGAUACCCUGGUAGUCCACACUGUAAACGAUGAUAACUAACUGUUGGCUUUCGGGUCAGUGGUACAGAGAAAUCGUUAAGUUAUCCACCUGGGGAGUACGCCGGCAACGGUGAAACUUAAAUGAAAUUGAGG